rnacentral:lncRNA from 1 species
GGAUUCAUGAAAUAUGAGCUAGUUGUCUAAGUUACUAGCCCCAGUGAGACUGUUAUUAUUCUUGGAAUAUACCAAACACAUUUAUUGCAUAGUUAUAAAUUUUUCUUGGCUAAAGAGAUCACUUGUUGAGCACAGUACCCUGGAUUUGGGAGCAUGUUCCAGUCGUCUAAAAAUGAUCUCGUCUGGCCUAGAAAGCUGAGGCUGGAGCUGGUGGUGCCAGCAGGAUGGGGCUGUGCUCCCACUGUGGGGCUAGAGGAGUGCCAGACCACCCAAGUGAAACUGGACCAGGGGUACCAGACCACAGUUCAGCCCAUAUUUCCUUACUCUGGUUAUUUAUGGGAACUUCCUGCUGUUUUUCACCUGUCUGCUCAUUCGUUUAUACAAAUGAUGCCAGGAGACAUCUGCGUCUAUCCCUCUGGGAACCAUCCAGAAGGACCGCUCCUCUUGUGGCUGCCAUCUCCUCCUCACCUUUGUCAGAGCUGCACUGGGGCCUAGCUGAGUCUACUGAAACUGCAGGAAAUAACCAAAUCACCACCGUACUACCUUUGCCAUGUUCCAACCACUGCCUGGCAGCAGCAACUGGCCAAAUGUUCAUCAUGUCCAUUUCUCUUCUAGGACACACAUUUGGACUACAGUUUCUAAUCUCCCUUGAGCUCCCCGCCUCCAUUCCAGGCUCCUAGGGCAGUGAAGCUCAGCGGGUCCCAGCACCCGGAAGGAAGCCCUCCUGCUGCCAUCCCAAGCUCCUAGGGCACAGAAGGUGAGCCAAGUGGAUGCCAGAAGAACCCCCCACCCCCACCCCCCGUGAAAAUGAGAAGACAUAUAAACAAUCCUCAAAAACAGACUUCCGGAUCACCUACAGCAACCCCAAAGGGAAACGAUAUGGAACACUCUGAUACUCAACCACCUGGACUCUCUGAACUGGCAACAAAAGAGGAUCUGGGAAAAAUGAAAUCAGAAAUAAUUACU